UACAACCAUACCAUGUUGAAACCCCCGGGUCUUGUACGAUCACCACAGUUAAGCAAAGUUGAGCCUGAUCAUUACCUAGAUUGGUGACGGUUUGGAAAUAUCAGGUACUGUAAG